rnacentral:tRNA from 1 species
UCCCUGGCAGUCUAAUGAUUAUGACUCUGUAUUUCCACUGCAAAGGGGCACAGGUUCGAUCCCUGAUCUGGGAA